CACGUGGCGCUCCUCCGGUCAUGUGACGCAGACGGUUCACCUCACAAGACCGGGGUCAACCACAGCUACCAGCAUGAACGACGGCGCUUCAGACGGGAUCUGCAGAGACUUUGAUUCAUCUGCCGUCUGGACAUGGAGUGUUGUGGGUCUCCUCCAAUCAGACAGUGGGAUGCUGCAGGUCACUAGACUGACCCCCUGUGCUUUGGAAGGGGAGGAGCUCACAGCGCCACCUGCUGCUUGUUGAGGACAAUGCACAAUGAGGGACGUCUGCAGCGACUGAGAAAGAGUCUCACCACAUCCUGACAUGAGGAAAAAGACUUUAUUGAAGACUACAAUGAGAAAAACUAUCAGACAGCAGACGGCUGCAUUCAAGUCUGUAGCUGCUGAAUUCAUGGAUGAAUCAUCUGGCACUAGAGAAGAAGACCAUCAAACAUCCACGUCAGCUGAUGGAGGUCCAAGAGUCUCACCCAACAAACAACCUACAGAGUGAAGACCUCCAAUCUGAUUGGACGGCCUCCUAUUCAGCCACGUGUGAACAAAUGCCUCUAAGUUGAUUUGUUUUCUAAAAUAAAUCUAGUUUGAGUCCUAAUCAAUGCUUGUGUGUUUGCUUCUUUACACCGCUGUUAACAG
ensembl:lncRNA